rnacentral:rRNA from 1 species
AGGGUUUGAUUAUGGCUCAGGACGAACGCUGGCGGCGUGCUUAACACAUGCAAGUCGAACGGGGCAUAGAGAUAUGCCUAGUGGCGGACGGGUGAGUAACACGUGAGCAACCUAUCCUAUACAACGGGAUAACACAGAGAAAUUUGUGCUAAUACGGUAUAAGACCACACUCCGGCAUCGGAGAGGGGUAAAAGCUGAGGCGGUAUAGGAGGGGCUCGCGGCCCAUUAGCUAGUUGGAGAGGUAACGGCUCACCAAGGCGACGAUGGGUAGCCGAUCUGAGAGGAUGAACGGCCACAUUGGAACUGAGAAACGGUCCAA